AUACGAAUAUAUACAGUGCACGGUACAUGAGGUCAGGACUUCACAUGGUAGAGUUACUUCCCCUGGUGGGAAAAUCGCCAUUUGUAACAUAUUUUUACAAGACACAACAUCACAAGUGAAGUGGCACAAUAAACUUUAAUUGAUAGACUGUGUUCAUUGUGAAUAAUAAAAAACACAAAUAGAACAA